GACGGAGAGUUUGAUCCUGGCUCAGGGUUAACGCUGGCGGCGCGCAUAACACAUGCAAGUCGAGCGAGGGCUUAUCUCCCGCAAGGGAGGUGAGUUCCUAGCGGCGAACGGGUGAGUAACACGUGGGCAACCUUUCCUAUCGCGGGGGAUAACACCGGGAAACCGAUGCUAAUACCGCAUGUCGUCACC
rnacentral:rRNA from 1 species